AGGCCCAAACCAUGAUGCUGCCACCACCAUGUUUGACAGUGGGGAUGGUGUGUUCAAGAGUUCACGAUCAUAACGUGUGGCUUCAGUUGUUGAAAUGCGACACACUUUCAUUGUUGCUAUUGCUACGGCAACAAUAAUCAAAAGAACACAGUUUAUGUGGAGCCAGUUGACAACAAGAAAAAGACUGCCUUUGCCUCUUUUGAGGAGCUGGAGUGAAGCCAUUUUUGAGGAGUGGUCAAACCUUAUUUUUGUCUGCUGUGUUAAUUGUUUCAAUUGUUAAUUAUGUUUUUAUGUUUAGUAAGUCACCUGAGUCUCUCAUCUCUGUACUGGAGCUGGUAUAACUUAAUGUACAAAGCACAUUCAGCUUGUCAGUAUGUCUAUAUGGUAUAGUCUGUAUCCAUUCUCAUGAGGAAAGUAAAUAGCAUUAUAAUUCAGGAUAGGUAGUAACUGAAUAUAUAUGCUCAAUUAAAUAAUAUAAUUACAAAGUUAUAACACAAUUUUAACAGUACAUAACAUACAUAACAAGUAUGUUGUUCAUUGCAACAAUAUCAGUAGCUUGUCUCAAAUAUAGCAUGAAGCAAAAAGUGUUACAACACAUGUGCUGGUACCACUUUUUAUAAUAUUUCUUAAGAUCUUCAAAAAUGAAAUAUGUUUGUAUUCAACGUGUGCCUUGCACAAACGUGUGUGUCUGUAUUCAGUAUGGGACUGUCAAACUUCAGAUUGACA